UCACAAUAUGGUCGAGUGGUUAUGACACCUCGGAUUAAUACACCCAUCCAAAAAUGACUUUGGAAUUUAUUCAAGGAGAGGGAGGUUCAAAUCCUCCUUUGAGCA